GGCAGCAGCCGCGGGAACACCGGCAGCUCUAGUGGUAGCAGCUUUAUGGGCCUAAAGCGUCCGUAGCCGGUUUAAUAAGUCUCUGGUGAAAUCCUGUAGCUUAACUGUGGGAAUUGCUGGAGAUACUAUUAGACUUGAGACCGGGAGAGGUUAGAGGUACUCCCAGGGUAGAGGUGAAAUUCUGUAAUCCUGGGAGGACCGCCUGUUGCGAAGGCGUCUAACUGGAACGGUUCUGACGGUGAGGGACGAAAGUUAGGGGCGCGAACCGGAUUAGAUACCCGGGUAGUCCUAACUAUAAACGAUGCGGACUUGGUGUUGGGGUGGCUUUGAGCUGCUCCAGUGCCGAAGGGAAGCUGUUAAGUCCGCCGCCUGGGAAGUACGGUCGCAAGACUGAAACUUAAGGAAUUGGCGGGGGAGCACCACAACGCGUGGAGCCUGCCGGUUUAAUUGGAUUCAACGCCGGACAUCUCACCAGAGGCGACAGCUGUAUGAUAGCCAGGUUGAUGACUUUGCUUGACUAGCUGAGGAGUGGUGCAUGG
rnacentral:rRNA from 1 species